GACAGAGGCCUCGAGCGUUAGGCGGAAUCACUGGGCUUAAAGCGUGUGUAGGCGGGCCCCUAAGUACCUUGUGAAAUCCCACGGCUCACCCGUGGAACCGCUGGGUAUACUGGGGGCCUUGGGCCAUUCAGGGGCGACUGGAACAAGCGGUGGAGCGGUGAAAUGCGUAGAUAUCGCUUGGAACGCCGACGGUGAAAACAGGUCGCUGGGAAUGUGCCGACGCUGAGACACGAAAGCCAGGGGAGCAAACGGG
rnacentral:rRNA from 2 species